UACGAAGGGUGCAAGCGUUACUCGGAAUCACUGGGCGUAAAGCGUGCGUAGGCGGUUCGUUAAGUCUGCUGUGAAAGCCCUGGGCUCAACCUGGGAACUGCAGUGGAUACUGGCGGACUAGAGUGUGAUAGAGGAUGGUGGAAUUCCCGGUGUAGCGGUGAAAUGCGUAGAGAUCGGGAGGAACACCAGUGGCGAAGGCGGUUCUCUGGGCAUUACCUGACGCUGAGGAGCGAAAGUGUGGGGAGCGAACAGG
rnacentral:rRNA from 1 species